GACGAACGCUGGCGGCGUGCUUAACACAUGCAAGUCGAACGAAGAGCGAUGGAAGCUUGCUUCUAUCAAUCUUAGUGGCGAACGGGUGAGUAACGCGUAAUCAACCUUCCCUUCAGAGGGGGACAACAGUUGGAAACGACUGCUAAUACCGCAUACGAUCUAACCUCGGCAUCGAGGAUAGAUGAAAGGUGGCCUCUACAUGUAAGCUAUCACUGAAGGAGGGGAUUGCGUCUGAUUAGCUAGUUGGAGGGGUAACGUCCCACCAAGGCGAUGAUCAGUAGCCGGUCUGAGAGGGUGAACGGCCAAAUUGGGACUGAGACACGGCCCAGACUCCUACGGGAGGCAGCAGUGGGGAAUCUUCCGCAAUGGACGAAAGUCUGACGGAGCAACGCCGCGGGAGUGAUGACGGCCUUCGGGUUGUAAAGCUCGGUUAAUCGGGACGAAAGGCCUUCUUGCGAAUAGUGAGAAGGAUUGACGGUACCGGAAGAGAAAGCCACGGCUAACUACGUG
rnacentral:rRNA from 1 species